rnacentral:lncRNA from 1 species
GCUGGCCUGCUUGCGGUCCUCCAAGAGUACUGUGGCUCUGUGAGAGAUAGCUAGCUUGUAAAAGUAACGAAAAGUAACUUAGCUAUGAACGACGUCACGGAGAGAGGUGAAUUUGGUAGCGCGUGGUCUCGCGUGACUAGCUACAGCGAAUCACAAAGGCUGUACAGCAUGAUGAUCUGCACGGGUGUAUUUUCGACCUAGAAAAAUACGGCACAUGGGCCCAACUUGAAAAAAUGGCUAAAAGUCUAACAUGGGAUACCAAUUAGGCCUGGUCACAUAAUCCAGAGGGAUUGGUGGGGAUUGAGAGGGAUAAAUUGAGCGGUAAUGAACUCCAAAUCCUUCCCAUCCCUGCCAUUCCCCCCUGAUCAGAUCAGGACACGGGUGAGUGAAAGGAACGAUGCCUGAGUAAUAGCAGGAGGGAAAACACGUGAGUAAUUUCGCGAUUCAAUUCUAAUGGAUAAAAAAUAUGUAAACAUGGGACCCAAUUAGUGAGUAGGAGGGAAAGCACGUUGGAUCGAAUUGGUGAGAAAUUCUGCCGGUUCAAUUCUAUAGGCUAAAAAAAUAUAAAAAAAUGGCAUAACAAUUAGUGAGUACUAAAUGAUUCUCCGGGCGUUGCCGCGGAAAAAUUUAUACGAUAAAUAUAUGGUUAAAUAGUGAAAGCCAGAAGAGAAAAUGAUAAUGAAAGAAAAUAAAAAGAUAUCUCAGCAAUCAUAGAUGAUGUAGGAUGCUCGCAAAAUGUUGCACCAAUGAAGGAAAAAGUUACUAAUCAAGCUUAAAUAUUUCGAUGACUUUAUCCAUCCCCGGGAGGAAAAAAAUCUGAUUCAAAAUCCACGAGCGUGUCCU